rnacentral:rRNA from 1 species
CCUACGGGAGACAGCAGUGAGGAAUAUUGGUCAAUGGACGCAAGUCUGAACCAGCCAUGCCGCGUGCAGGAAGACGGUUCUAUGAGUUGUAAACUGCUUUUGUACGAGGGUAAACGCAGAUACGCGUAUCUGUCUGAAAGUAUCGUACGAAUAAGGAUCGGCUAACUCCGUGCCAGCAGCCGCGGUAAUACGGAGGAUUCAAGCGUUAUCCGGAUUUAUUGGGUUUAAAGGGUGCGUAGGCGGUCGGAUAAGUUAGAGGUGAAAUCCCGAGGCUCAACUUCGGAAUUGCCUUUGAUACUGUUCGGCUAGAGAGUAGUAGCGGUAGGCGGAAUGUAUGGUGUAGCGGUGAAAUGCUUAGAGAUCAUACAGAACACCGAUUGCGAAGGCAGCUUACCAAGCUACUUCUGACGUUGAGGCACGAAAGCGUGGGUAGCAAACAGGAUUAGAUACCCGUGUAGUC